AAUGAAGGCACCUGCACACCACUGAGGGUCUGGACCAAAGUUCUCUGCAGAGUUAAUGCAUAUACAAGCAGACCAAAGCUUGGACAGGGUCAAGGGGUUUAACUCUGUGCUGUCCUGGGAGGUGUAAGGAAUAAAUACAUUACACAAUUUAAGAGUCUAAUUGAGGGAACCACUGAUGUGCAAGAGUAAGGACUGCUUAUAGGCAAAGAGCUUGCAGGAUCAGACCUUCGAUUUGUUUGUAUUGAAUGAGAUGCAUCUGCUGCUUAAAGUGCAAGGCAGGGGGAGAUCAUGGUACAAGAGCCUCCUUCCUUGUACUUUGUCCUUCCCAUACACUGGGGAACUGUCACGGUUGUGGCAUAUCUGCCCCUAUAUGAGCAUGUGCACACCCACUCGCUGCUUUUUGGGGCAGAGGGACAGUGCUGUAUGGCUGAAGCUGCCAUUAACUGCAAACAGCCAGAGGCUUACCCCUGAAGAACAGUUUCUGGCUUCUGCCCCACCGGCCCUCUUUUGAAUCAGGUCAGCGACUGCAUUAAGAGCUGCAUUUUUUCAGUCUCUUCCAGCGCUGCUCACUAAUUGUUUUUCUAGGGGUAAUGAGUGAGGAGCUGCCAGAGGCUGUUAGCACUGGACCGAGAGGAGGACCCACGAAGGUGGCUGGUUUGUCAAGAAAGUUUAUGAUUACCAACUUGAAGGACUCUCUAGCUGCAUUAAUUCACUUGAUUGCUUGCCUGUGAUUCCAGCUUGUGGGGGAGGGGGACGGUCCCUGGUGGCCCUUUGGCAGAAGGGAUAAGUGAAAACCAGAUAUAGGAAAAAUAGGGCCAGGGCUUGACCAAGAGGAAGCUGACUUAGCACCAGUGAGGCUGCAGAAUGACAUGGAUUUGUCCAGUGAGAAUCUGUCCCAAGUCUGAACCCCGGGGGUUUGCUCUUGGGCAGUUGAAAAUGGCAUAGCCUGUGUGAUGAUCUCUAGGUUAUCAUGAUUUUUCAGGUGCUGCCCUUGGGAACAAGGAGGGGAGGCCUUUUCCUGAAUGUUUUCAUUUAACAGCAACAGCAAGCAGGACAAACUCUUCGGGGAGGAGGGGGUCUCCUCACUUCAGAGCCAAACCCCAUGACACCCAGUUGCUGUUUGAAGCUCCACACCUUUAACCAGGGGGCACCAUUGCCCACCACACCUCCUUCUGCCUCAGUUGAUCCUCAUUAAAGGAAGUUCUCAUCCAAAGGCAGCUCUAGAUCAAGACAGAGUAUCAUGCCUGCAAUGUGUGUUGCUAUGAAAUUCCUUGAGGCUUUUACAAACAGAUGAAUGUGUGCACAUGGAUGUGCACAUGUAUAUGUGUGCAGAUUUGUGCAUGUGUGAGUACACAUCUGGAUAUGCUUUUGUAUGUGUGUGCAGGCCUAUGUGUAUGGGCAUGUGUGUGAGUAUGCGCCCAUACAGGUGUGUUGUGUGUGCAUAGUCAGUCCAGCCAGAGCCUGCUGAGCAGGUUCCUAGCCAAUCCUUAAUUGCAGGUUAUUUGACAGGGGGCCUGGUGGGGAGGGGAGCAACCAAGCUCUUUUCUGUCUGUUUCUUUGGUGGGAGCCCCCUUUGAGAACCAAUUACUGGGGCCUUUUGGAAUUUUUAAUUGAAUAUUUGUGUUGCAAGCAGGAGCAGGACCCAUAGCUCUGAUUAGGGGAAGCAGGAAGACAAUGACUUGGGCCUUGUUUGCUUUUCAUUCAGGAUUAAGGACUUUUAAUUGUUCCAAAGAUCAUAGAUUGUGGCUCAGGGGAUAAUUAGUUUGAAUGUCGUUUUCUGGUUGAGUCCCCCUGGCCAAGGGGAAUGGCGCGGUGCUGCGGCGCCACUCACUCUGCCAGCUGUGCUUGCCUGCAGACAAUUGGGUUUUCUGGGGGAUUUAUAUCUCUAGAUAAAGCUUAACUGGGAUUAACUGGCAGCGUUAACACAGCUGGAGUUGCUGGCUCUUGCUAGGCUAGUGGGGCCUUGACCCAUGUGGCUGUGUUUAAAAUUCAAACCACGUGCAGGAUCUGGAUUCCCCAGACUCGGACAUCCACAGUGACACAACACUCUUGGUCUCUCCCCAGUGGUGGGCUUUGAGGAGGGACCUAGCCCCUCCAAUAGUUUCAGUCCCUCAUGUUGCCUGUGUAUUUGCUGCAGGGUGCCUAAAAUUUUCCUCUUUCUAGCCCUGUCUCUUCCCCAGAUAGUUAUUAUGCUGGUGCUUUUCCAUUCAAAUAUCAGCUCCCCUCUUCUCCUGCCCUACUGCAGGACUUUAGCUCAUUCUCUGUGGGCCCCACUGGCUGAUGUCAAAUGGGGCUGCAAGCUGAGCAGGGUUUCCUUUCCUAAAUGGGUAAGGCAGUGGGAGUUGCCAUUUUUUAGUACACUUCACUUUGGGGAAACUUACAGUAUUCAUUCUCUCCAUUUCCUGGCCAAUAUGAACAUCCAUUUUCCAACACCUGCAUGGAUCUGUGAGAUACAAGAGGAGCUCCAAGUGAGGAAAGAGUUGUGAGCAUGUGAUGAUCAAGAACAGCCCUUUCCGUGGAGAGAUGGAAUAAGGCAGGGGCUCCUACCACUGGGCGAUGGAAUGAGACCCCUUUGGAAAUUUCAAAUGGAGGUGUGAAACCCUUUGAAUUUGUUACAGGUGCUAAUAUUUUGCUGUCCUAUUACAUCAUACUGCUGUGCGAUCAGUUCCACGAACUAUGCAAUGUUUGUCAAGUGUGGAGGUGGAUGGAAGACUGCAAAAGAAAACUCAAACCAAGCUGGAAGCUUUGCUGAAGACCCCAAAAGCGGUGCUGGCCGGCAGAGCCAGUGCACCCCUUCCCUGGAUCCCUGCAGUGUGUCUGUGGGAUGCAGCACGCAGCUCUGGGUACUGCCCCAUGGACAGGUGUCGGCUGAAGAACUGCACCACUGCCCAGCUGGCUUCACUUCCUUGCCUCCUCUCAUCCAGCCCCUGGCACCUGACCUAACUUCACACACCAUCCAGCCUCUGAAAUGCCUGGCUUCUGCUCUGUCUCCAGCUGCUUCAUCCUAUUGGGCUCACAAAUGACCCACGUCUUACUUUGUUGCUCCUCCCAGAUGCUCUGCCAGGGGUGGAAAGCAAGAAAAUCCAGGGGAAAUAGCCCCUGUGAUGCGAGACAUCCACAUGCCUCCUGACUUGUGAUGGACCUCUGAAAGGGUACUGACCCCUCCUCAAUCCCCUUAUUUGACAGGGCCACAAAGCCCCCAAACCUCCGUCACAUGGGUGCUCCACAGACUUGCCUACCUUACACCUAUCCAAGUUAUUUCAUAGGCACAGAGUCUGGUACCUCCCUGAUGAGCUGCAGGUUGGCUUCUCUAUCCAAAGAACAGAGAUAUCCCAGAAGACUUCCCUGUCCCAGCCACAUUCCUAGGCAAGCCUUGGGACAUAAAGGUUUGGGAAGAAGCCAUCAGCUCCACAGGACGGGCAGGCAGGCAGGUCAGGAUCUUGAGAAGAUGGAAGCCUGUGAAUGGCAGGAGGAGGCUGAUGGGGAAGGGACAAGGGAGAAUGUGGAGACGGGCAAGGGUGGGAGACCUGAAGGGGAAGGUGGCAGAGGAAUGUGUCAGCAGGAGGCCAGAGGGUAUGCUGAUGGGGUAGAAGAAGGGGGUUAGGAUAAGUCUGUUAGGGUGAAUGGUUGAAGGGAAGGAGAUAGGAGUCUGGGGCUGUUCAGAGAGGUACAAGCAGGCCUGGGUGUUGGUGGAAGGGAUAGGGAGUUUGGGGCUGUGUAGGGAGAAAAGGAGGUACAGACAGAGUCUGAAGCCUGCAGCAAGGUUGUCUAGGGCAAGGGAGGAUGAGCAGGGGUGAUGGUGGGAAGGGUAAGUGACUUGGAGAGGCCAAGGAAGAAGCUGCAAAUGGACUGUGUUGCAGGGCAGGCUGGAGGCCUGGUACGGUGCGGGGUGGAGGACUGGAGCUGGAAGUAGGAGAUGGGCAGGGUGGGAAGGUGAAGCAGCGACAGGCAGCCUGGGGAGUGCUCAGGGUGAGGUUUGGAGCUUGGCCGGGAUAGCCUGUGGGAUACUGCAGUUCCCCAAGCUGUUCUGAGCCCAGAGUCUGUGGUGCACUUUGGGAUCUGAGCUUGCUCUUUAUGCUCUGACCCCACACAGCUGGAUCUCAGUCUGCAUACAUGGGAGGGGUGACUGUCUCAGCACUCUCAGCAUGAGCUGGGUGUUGCCGCGUUGUCUGGUAACCUGCAGGUCGGCCCAGCUGAAGCUCAGCUGACAUCCUGCUGAGGAAUAACAACAUGCCUUUGCCCUGGGCUUCCCGGAGCUGCACUGCGCUUGGUGCUGGUGACCUACUGCAGGCCAAUCAUGGGUUCUCUCCUUGACUGCCAGCUCACGUCUAGUUGUGGAGCAGCGCGUGUGCAUGUGGGUGCGUGUACGCAGCAGCAUGUGAGGGGAGCUGUCGGAGGGAAUCAGCUUGACUUGUCCUUUCCUGCAGGGCCAUUUGUUUUUUGCCACUGUAGAGAGGAUGAGCACGAAAGGGGCUACUAGGAGCUGAACUCCCUCUUUGGUGGAUGCGGCAGGGUGAGGAUGUGGAAAGACAAGUACUCCAUAGACUGCAGCUCCUUGAAAGCAGCUAUUGUUAGGAGCCUCAGCACAGAGGGAGCCCAGAGCAAAAGAGGCUUGUUAGAGAGGCCCAGACUGAAUACAAGACGCUCUCAGAGAACCACUGAACCAUGCUAAAUUACUUAAACUAACAUUAUUGACAUUGCACCCAGCUCUACUUGAACCGAGCAGCUUCUCCUUCUGUUCAUCAAAAAUUCAUAGUCAAACCCUCAGGCGCUUCUUUCUCUGGCCUUGUUGUUCACUGAGGGCUUUUUUUUUCUCUCUCUCUCUUUCCAGUCCCCCGGCUCUGAAAGGAAGAAGGGGACGCCUGAUGGGGGAGAUCAAGUGGGCCUUUGAAAAUUCCCUUUCGGAGUUUAUUAAACCAGAGUGCACGGCUAGGCAAACCUGGCUCACAACCAGCUCAGAGCAGGAGCAGUCCCUCCCCCUCCCCCAUGCCCUGACAAUCCCCCUCCUCUUGCAAAGAUUUGCUUUUUGCCUUUAUUUAAUUAUUUAGGCAUUUAUUUUUCUUCCAGGACACUUGACAAAACAGACUUUCAAAGGGUGAAAUCAGGAACUCUCCCCAGCCUGUCCUCCCACCUCAAUUCCUGCCUUCUCACCUGCCCCUGCACCCCCGCAGAAUAAAAACUAGACCCAUGCCCAGGCUGAGCCACAGAAAGGCUGCUGGAAUUUGGGUGAACUGGAGGCGCCCCCUCUCUUGUGGGGCAUUAACUUUAAAGCUCUGUUUUCAUCCAUUAUGUUUCUGUUCAAUAGGAGGUUUUCUUUCCAACUGGAAAUGUAUGUGUUGGAUAGAUUUGUCUUUUAAUAUAAGGACUGUCUUGUAGUUGAGAGAGCAAAAGAGAGAAACAAUCCAUGGAACAACACAGGAAGGCAGAGGGAGAGAGAACAAAAACAGCAGUCACCCUUAUGAAUGUUUAAUUUGCCAGGCUAGCUAAAUAACAUCAUCUCAGUAUUCUCUGUGCUAAGUAAAGGGACGCCAAGGGCGCAGUGGGGCAGUGUUAGUUACUGUAGUGAUCAAAGGCUGCAUUAGCAAGGGUCUCUGCUUUAUGAGUGGGCUACAAACAGUGCUAGGACACACACGCAGGAACUCCGAGGCCUUUGCUAAAAUGAGAGCUAUCACUCAUCCCUGAAAGGCUUAAAAUGUGACCUUAAGGGCAUAUCUAUGCAGUGAAGUGCGGAGAUACCCGUGCUAGCUUUGAACAAUGCAGUGCCUUUAAACAAUCCUUGUGCUAGUUCUCAGUGAGGUAGCUGUGGUAGUGAAAGCACUACAGCUGCAUUCGCACAGUGCGCAGCGGCUGGUAUUCGCUUUGGAUUUUACCAGUUCGGGAGGCAGUGAUUCGAUUCAGCAAUUUGGAGAUUCGGCAGCAGCCGAAUCUCCAAACCUCUGAAUCACGCAGGCCCCAUCUCCCGCCCGCUCUCAAUGACUGCCCUGCCCACCCCAGCUCCGGCCCUUUAAGGAAAAAAAACCCAAGGCUCACCGGUUCCUGCCUGGUGGGGGGGGGGGGGGAUGAUCCCCGCUGCCCCACACCACAUGGGGGGGGCUCUUCCAUGAUCCCUGCAAAGCCCCAAGGCCGCUGCAGGAGCUGAUGUGUUUUGGGUGGUGAAUGACAUGCCCUAUUUUUUCCAGUUUCAGUACAACUUAGGUGAGUGCAGCUUCAUCCCAAUAGAGGCCAUAGAAAGAAAGGCUGUCUGUGAGCUGUAGUUAGGAAGAAGUCCAUAAAAUGGCACCUGGCUAAUGCAGCUGAUUCUGUUGGUGUUUGUGCGCUUUCCUAGGUAGAAUCUAGGAUCCCGGCAGAAUACCCAGGAAAGCGCACAGACACCAACAGGCCCCCUAUACCUGAAGAAGGGCAUUUGUGCCCAAAAGCUUGCAAAGAACAAUUAUUUCAACUAUUUAGUUGGUCUAAUAAAAGAUAACACAUCUACCAAAAGAGCCUUGGUUUCAUUUUUGGCUUUCAUCUGUAUUUUUUGUUGAGGGAAGGACCCAAGAUGACAGCUCUGGGACCCUAAGGCUUCUCAGCUCUCAGAUCUGACACUGUGCCUGUCUACUGCUCUGCAGGGCUCUGCAGAGCAGUCAGCUAUGCAGCAUCUCUUCUCAAGGUUGCCACUCUUGGAGGGAUUCACCCCCUGUACUCAGCACUUCCAUCAGGAGGUGCUUGCUAACAUGUUUUCUCCCUGUGACAUCAGAGUUGUUGGGAGUACAACAAUACAUAGCCAUGGUUAGUCAUUAAGUACCAGUCCAAUCGUUCUGAAGCCCCAUGCAGUAUGUGGAAGCUUCCUACUACUUCUCUCUUUCCUUGACAACCAGGAGACUGCCUUCAGAUGCCUGAGGUUCUUACUCUUCAGCUCAUGCACCUGAUACCGAGACGACUUAACCCCACCUGGUUCCUGCUCAUCUCUGUCCCUGGGCUUGUUAGUCAGCCAGGCCCCGCUGACAGCAGGGAGCUGGGGUUGUAUAUGGAGUGCAAGAAGCAACGCUGUGGUUCAGUGCCUCUCUGCUAAUUCAGGGGGAAGGAAAUGUUAAACACACUAAAGUGCUGCUUAUUUGUGCUGUGUAAACUCCAGCCACCACAGUUUACUUUGCUGUCAGAAGCCCCUUAGCUUACUACAGAACAGAGCGCCUGUAAAAUGGGAGGCGCUCACCAGCAAAGGUUUUUCUGCUUUCGGAGCAGAGGGUUCAGAGGGGUCACCAUGUUGGCUGAGCGCAGGUGGGGAAAGUGAUAUAACAAAUGCCCCACUUCCUACUGUCCACUUUGUCAGCCCUGGUUCUUUCCCCAACGCAGCCCAUGGGUCUGGCUGUGACACCGUGAGUGUUAAGAUCUGUUGGCACUCUUAACAAGAUGAUGUGUCCUGGUUAAUGUUAAGAUCUGUUUGAGAAUUGUCAGGUUGAUGCAGAGUCUCGGGGCUAGUGGAGUGAGGGUUUACACGGGGCUGAACCACUGGUGCUUGGCUGAAUUGGAACGUGGAACACAGGUGGACGCUCCUGACGCUCUCUCCAGCGGGGCUGGCUGGUGUCUUCCGAUCUCGUGAGGCUUCCCAGGGAAAAGCGGGGGCACGUGGCACUUUGGAGAGAGGAGCCUUCGACACAGGGGGUCCGAUAGGAUUAAUGCAGCCUGCUGAAACCCACAGAGAGUGUGUGAGGCCUGAGACGCCUUUUCCUCCUGCCCCAUGAGGGAGUAUUAUUGAAAGUGGCUGUAGAGAAUUGGAGAGAGGUAUCAAGGGGAAAUGAGAAGGGAAAACACUCUGGUUUGGUCCUGAGAAGAGAAGGGGAGGAAGGAAACAUGAAGGCUGGGACAUUUUAGAUCCUAUGAAUUUGAUCUGAGAAACUGUAACUCUCUGAAGUGCCAAAGCUUAAUCCCUAAUUUCUGAGGUUCACCCAUCACCACCUAUGCGUUAGCAGCACAAAGAGGUUGACUUAUGGGGCAUGAAUGAAUAGGAUGGGCUUAGUUUACAGUUUCAAGAAGCCUGGGAAGAACUUUCUAAUAGAGUCCAGAGCUGAACUGGGAUUUCACUAAUGCAGCCUGGAAUUCUGCCUCUGUCUUAACUCAGAUGACUACAGCCCUUUUGGCUUAGUCCUGUCCCUUGUCUACGGUCUAAAAAUGCAAGAACUUUCUGCUAAGUUCAGCAAUGGCUCUGAUCUGAGCCUUGCAUGUUUGAGAUGAAACACAUGCUCUUCUGGCAUGUCAGUAAUAAGGAGAGGCAGAAAGCCUUUGAGGUCCCAGGGCAAUUGGAAACGAUUUGGGGGAAUAAAGAAAACAGGGACAAUUAUAUGUAAUUCUGGUUUAAAGGGCAGAUUCCAAAUACCUGAUGGAGAAUGCACCUCUAAUCUUCUUUCAGCAGAGUCCUCGCUCAGAUCCCUUAUGUGGGGGAGAGAGUUUGCUGCUUUGUGCUGAAUCAGAUUAGACAGUUUACAGCUCAUGAGCAUCAAAUUUAAAACACCUUGUGCCCCUGGGACCACAGCAUCAGAUCUUGGCAAGACAGACUUGAGAGUUGUCCUUCAGCAGCAGAUACACCAAGUCCCAUGCAGCUUCUUAUAUGAGUGAUUUUUGGACAAGACCUUCGGGGUACAUGAUGAGUGCUGCCAUGAUCUAAUGCAUCUCCAGAGUGAUGUGUCUGACACUGCCCGACAUGGAGCCUUCUAUAAAAACUAGCUUCACUUCAUGAAAUUCCAUUUGACAGGUGCAGACACUCAAGCCGUUCUCCUGAGUCAACCAUUUUUUGUUCUUUUCCCAGUAUUGGGUACAUUUCAGCAAACGAAAGAGCCAAAAUCACUGAAAUGAUGAUACCAGUCAUAGGCUUUUAAGAUGUUUCCAGUUCACCCUCUGGAACCAAGCAUCCAUUGAACUAUGUUGAAUCCAGGGCCAUUGAACUACUUCUAACUUCUCCAUGCAUCUGGAACUUUGUUGGGAUGCCAAAGAAAUCAGAGAAACCUACUAAGGUGCUCACAAAUCUUGUUAUUCUAUUCCACCCAGGAAGAGCACUGGCCAACUGCAGAUGCUUCCUCAGCCCAAUGAAGGGUAUUUGUAUCCAAAAGCUUACAAAGAAGAAUUUUUCCAACUAUUUUAGUUAGUCUAAUAAAAAAUAUUAGAUUUAUCCAAAGAACAUUGUCUGCUACAAACCUUGUAUGCACCUUAAGUAAGACCCCUGGUAGGAUAUUCAUUCUCACUGUGAUAGGGAGGGUGAAAAGAUUAUGCUCAGUCUUGCUUUGGUCUCCCUGCCAGAAACCGGGGAUUUGGCUAUGAGCUUGAGGUUCUGCAGGCCCUUUGCAGUCAAGUCAUCUUUAUGCUGCGAGUGGUCACUCUUUGCAGCUCCAGAAUAUUACAGGAGAUUCUUUCUAACGCAGACCAAAGGGGACUCUUGUUUCCUCGGAAGCUGCACCUCAUGCAGACAUCAUACAGCUGCUUCUUAUUCUCACAGACUUGAGCUCUGAGGCCCGGUCAACAGCUCCUCAAGGAAAACUUUAAGUUGCUGGCGGAGUCAGGUCCCACAGGGGAGGCAUUCCUGAAAUUAGGCAACCCCCUCCCUCCAGAGGGAAGCCCCGGGUGGAAAUUUCCCUCCCAGCUAGACCCAUUGAAGGGGAAGCACCCCUUGCUAACUGGGAUCCAGGGGUAAAUGCACCUUAUAUCAUGUAAAGCUGCGCCUCAUUUUGUAUAACUGUUAUCAUAAUUAUGAAUAUGUUGUACACGAUGUUAUGGAAUUGGGUUAGUUUGGUAUAAUGGGUUUUUGUCUUAUCGUAUUGUAAAUAUUUAUCUGUAUACCUGUGGUGUUGUUAAAAAAUAUUGCUAAGAAUAUUUUAGGUAAGUUUUCUUUUGUUACCUAUUAGAAUAUUUACAUAUAUAUAUAUAUAUAUAUAUAUAUUGAAUAAGAAAUAAUAUGUAUAUUAUAAUUGAAUAAACUGUAAAUAGUUAAGA